CUUCGAGGUAUUGAAAUAAGGCUUUAAAUGGGUGCUAAGAGAAUGGUUUAACGAAGAUAGGCUUUUUUCUUUUUUCUAUUAAAAGUUGAUUUAAAAAUGAAAAGGUUUUUAUAAAAAUUUGGGACAAGAAGACCCUAUGAAUUUUGAUAUUAGAUUUUUUGAUUAAAUUUUUUGAUAAAUUUUAAAUUUUUCUUAUAUUUGAUUGGGGUGAUUUUUAAAGAUUAGGAAUCUUUAAAGUUUUGUUUAGUGGAUCCAUUAGUAGUGAUUUGUUGAAUAAAAUACUCUAGGGAUAACAGCGUUAUUAUUUUGGAUAGUUCAUAUAGAUAAAAUAGUUUGCGACCUCGAUGUUGGAUUAAGAUACUCUUGAAGUGUAGAAGCUUCAAAAAUAGGGGAAGUUUGCUCAACUUUUAAAUUCUUACUUGAUCUGAGUUCAGACCGG
rnacentral:rRNA from 1 species